rnacentral:lncRNA from 10 species
AAUCAUGAGUCAGAAAUUCAAGCCACCAGAUGCUUUCCAACUAACAGGGACCAAAUGGGACCGUUCUAAGAUAUCCUAAAAGAUUUGGGAGUUAGAGGAGGUAAACUAAGAUAAUUAUAUUACAAAGGGUACAAGACCACAAGACAACAACCGACUCCGGAAUUCUUGGACCUCCGCCUUCCGUACAAGAUGGAGUCUUGCUCUGUCACCCAGGCCGGAGUACAGUGGCACAAUCUCAGCUCACUGCAACCUCUGCCUCCCAGGUUCAAGUGAUUCUCCUGCUGCCUCCUGAGUAGUUGCGAUCACAGGCGUGAGCCACUACGCCAGGAUAAUUUUUGUAUUUUUACUACAGACGGGGUUUCACCAUGUUGGCCAGGCUGGUCUCGAACUCCUGACCUCAGGUGAUCCACCCGCCUCGGCCUCCCAAGGUGCUGGGAUUACAGGCAUGAGCCACCAUGCCCAGCCAAAUUCUUGCUGGAGAAAUGAAGUCAGAAAUGCAAGAUUGAUCAGACAACAAUCCCAGAGUCUUGAACCAGUUUAUAGAAAACUAGAACUGAAGGAUUUCCUCUUAGACCCCAAACGUUAUACCUCUUAUACCCCAACAUACCGUGUGACAGCUUUAUUCUCUCAGAGACACAACUCUCCCCAACCC